rnacentral:rRNA from 1 species
UACGUAGGGUGCGAGCGUUAAUCGGAUUUACUGGGCGUAAAGCGUGCGCAGGCGGCCCGUUAAGACAGGUGUGAAAUCCCUGGGCUCAACCUAGGAAUUGCGCUUGUGACUGGCGGGCUCGAGUACGGUAGAGGGGGGUGAAAUUCCUGGUGUAGCAGUGAAAUGCGUAGAGAUCAGGAGGAACACCGAUGGCGAAGGCAGCCCCCUGGGCCUGUACUGACGCUCAUGCACGAAAGCGUGGGGAGCAAACAGG